UUUGUCUAUUAAUUGUAGACCAGUAUGAAAGGCAACAUGAGGGCCUAACUGUCUCUNGUNAUANAUCAAUUAAACUGAUCUUCUAGUAAAAAAGCUAGAAUCCCACCAUAAGACCAGAAGACCCUGUGAAGCUUAAACUAAACUAUUAAAACAUAUAAUAGCUACUUUCGGUUGGGGCGANCCUGGAAAAAAAAAGAACUUCCAACAAUAACACAUAUCAAAUCACACAGGCCCACAAGCCACACCAAUGACCCAGCACAGCUGAUCAUUGAACCAAGUUACUCCAGGGAUAACAGCGCUAUCUUCUUCAAGAGCNCAUAUCAAAAAGAAGGUUUACGACCUCGAUGUUGGAUCAGGACAUCCUAAUGGCGCAGCCGCUAUUANGGGUUCGUUUGUUCA
rnacentral:rRNA from 1 species